UACGGAGGGGGCAAGCGUUGUUCGGAUUUACUGGGCGUAAAGGGUCCGUAGGUGGUUGUGUAAGUCUGGUGUGAAAUCUUCGCCGCUUAACGGGAAGCAGCCACUGGAAACUGCGCAACUUGAGUCUGGUAGAGGUAAGCGGAAUUCCUGGUGUAGCGGUGGAAUGUGUAGAUAUCAGGAAGAACAUCUGUGGCGAAGGCGGCUUACUGGGCCAGUACUGACACUGAGGGACGAAAGCGUGGGGAGCAAACAGG
rnacentral:rRNA from 1 species